CAGUGUUCAGCUUUAGCCAUGUAAUUGUGAUAAGAAUAUGAUUUGUCAUGUUGAACGCCAUGACCAAGGGAAUGUGUCAAUGUCUUCCUUGAAUGACAUAGGUUCCAAAAUCAUUUUUCAUGAUUUGAUUUUCAAGUUCCUCUGAAGACACUGUGAUUAUCCUACCCAUGGGAGUGAGUAAAGUCCAUAGAGGGUUAUGAGGUAAGUGCUGAGGUACCCUAAACCAGAUCUUCAUCUAUAGAGGAAAGGGAUGAGGGUGUCCUGACUAUUACUAGAUUUAGUGGUCACUGCUCCUAUAAGAAAUAAUUUUGUCCUUCACAGUUCUAGUAAAUAUGAGUUUAUCCUUUAUAUGCCAUAGGGAAAAUUGGUGUUUUAGCAAGGACUGCUGAGGGAGUGAUUAUGAACUGGUUAAUUGAAAUUAUUGUGGAACUCUAGGACUGCAGUAAGCAUAGGUUAAUUUCCAGGGUGUGGAGAUGACAAAAUAUGGGCUCUCUGACAAUACUGUUUUUGUUUGGUGAAUCCAAGUAUCCUGAGGAGUUUAGCUGUCCUUUAGCAAUGGACAUUAAAAAGGGAGUGGGCUCAUGUUCUGACACAGCACCUUCUAUGCCAAACUGGCUUUGUAUUUUUUUCAGAUGCCCUUCAAGAGAACACAGUGAUCCAGAAAAGAUGGUUGUUGCAGUCACCCUAGUAACAAGGUAUCCUGCCAAAAGGUCUUGGGAGAUGCUGCUACCCUCAGCCAUGCAACACCUUCUUCUUUACUGAUGUACAUUGUGGGAGGGCACUUGGGCACACUUUGCUUUUCCCCACUGAUUCACCUGUGUGCCAGUGAAGGUGAAAUCUUCCCAGUGGCUGCUGGGACAGUCAUGUCACAGUGAGCAGCACAGUAUAAUCAGGUGGAUGCAUACAGACAUCCAGGUAAGUGUGGGCUUGUGCCCAGGCCACCAAUGAGGUCCUGCCACUUCCACAUGUGUAAGUGACAAAGGUGUGGCUUGGCAUUUGUAGCCCACUGCUUGAUUUGAAGUUGCUCAAGUAAGGAAGGAUGGAAUCCACAGCAAUGCCACUCUCUGGGAGGGGACACUUGGCACAGCUUAGGUGAAAUGGAUGGUAAAAGAGUGAGCACUGAAGAAGACAUGGUGUCUAGGUUUGGGUGCUUGCUGUGUCCCAGCCCGGGGAGCUGUAGCACAGGAGAGUCUGCAGGGGUCCACUUAGGAGAGGUUUGACUGUGGGGACAGGAUUGUUUUCAUGCAGUUAUCCCAGCAGCCAGGUACAUUUCCAGUGUGAGUCAGUGGUUUUUGUGGGAAUUGAAAUGCUCAUUGACUCAACACUGACUUUGUCUUCUCCAUGUUUUCUGCAGGUUCCUUCAAGGGAAGAUGAGCAGACUAUGGCUGGAACUGCAUGCAGGUGUCAGGUGAGAAUCAGCCUGCUGGUACCUCAUUGGGCACCAAGUGAUGGUCUGUAUUCAGAUGGAUGUGAAGAGGGUGUGCAUGAGGUAUUCGCAUGUUUCCUAGACAUGCACCCUCUAAGGUCUUGACUACUGAGUGGUUCAGAGUUUGUGCCACACUCAGCAUCAUAGCCUUUUUUUCUGUGACAGAUUGGCUAUUGAUGGUGAACCUCUGAUUCUGCCCUCUUCAUCGACAAGUGUGGUGCUCUGUGCCUUCUUGCUGUCACGAGGAAGCAUCAGAUGCUAUUGGUUCCCUUCCAGGAGAGAUGAUGUGUAUUUCACACUUGUCCCACUAGGGGAGUAAGCAGGGCAUGAGGUCACUGUGACAGAGUGGGUCCCUGAGAUGGGGAUUGGAGUGAAUUGGGAGGUAUCUCCUCAAAGGCAUCCAUUACCAUUGCAUGGCUAGUUUGUUGACAAGAAGGAGGGAGGAGCGUGGUGGUGGUGAUGGAACCUGAAUGAUAGGAUGACAUGGGAGUUGUACAGGUAGACACGGAGGAGACCACAAAGGGUAGAAUCUCUUGUGCUUCUUUUCCAGUGAGGGAGUCCACAGCUCAUGGUGAGCCCUGAACAUCACCAGGAUCUGUAUAAGGACAGCCAUGGACCUUCACUGCAGCAUAGGCAGGGAAUAUCCAUGGCCUUCACUAAGUGAUAUUGGGGUCCCUGAUGUGGAGUCGUGGGGUAGUGGGGUUGCUGUGACUUUGCUUUAGGUUCUGGAGCCCAGGAGAGCAAUGAAGGAAGAACUGAGCCAAUCCACUGACCCUGAAUUUUUCCUUCGUGUAUAGUGAAGUAAAAUGAAUGUUGAUCUUCUCUACAUCCUUGGAGUGCUUAUUCUUUGGUCCAGUGGUGUUGUGAUGGACCACCCUGCCCAGGAGAAAGCACAGAAUUCUUUGCAGGUCAGUAGUUGAUGAUAAUGAGUCUCAGGAUGAGAGUUUUGCACUCAAAUUGCUUCUGGUAUCAGAGUGAAGAGAAAGCCUUUGUGCCAGUGGUGAUGCCAGAGCACAGCCCAGUGUUCUUGCAGAGCAAAGGAUAAGGUUUUAGCAGGGUGUGGUUUGCCUUCCUUUCAGAUAUCUGCAGUGAUGAAAAAAUGUUUGUUGUGGUGAGAUUGCUGAUGAUAGAUGAGACCUCUGUGCAUGUAGCCUGGCUACAGGGCAUGAUAUUCCUUAGAAAGGUAAAAAAUGAGCCUCUACAUAACCUGGCCAUGUGAUGUUUUUUCACCAUGAAUGCUGCUAAGGGCCAGAGUCAUGAUCAGGUCUUGUGAGAUCUUCAGCCAUGGAAUAUCUUAGUUUUUUCUGAUGAACUUUGGAGAAGGGACUUUUCUUUUCCCUGCUGUUUGACAUGUAUGUCAGUGGAGGUAAAACAAUAGAGACUUCUCAAUGGCUAUGAGGCUGCAUCCCAUUGUCAUGUAGAAUGGCUGGACCAUUCUUCAUGGCCAAAUGUGCUUUUCAUGCUCACAGUCAGAGAGAGGAAGGUAGAAAUUAUUGAUAGUAUCCAAAUAUUCAUCACUAUAGUUAUUGACCCUCAGAACUUCUUCAUAUUUUCAUUUAAGGGAGAAAGAAUUCUCUUAGCAGGCUUUAUCCUUGGAGUUCUAGGAAAGACCCAUGUCUUUAAGCAAGU
ensembl:lncRNA